rfam:Sporomusa malonica strain DSM 5090 genome assembly, contig: Ga0070592_101
GGGACCUGUACUCGUUGCGGUGCAACGAUUGUAAAAGA